GGUUUGUGGCUCAGAGGUAGAGUGUUUGCCUAGCAUGCAUGAGGUGCUGGGUUUGAUCCCCAGCACCG
rnacentral:tRNA from 1 species